AUGCCCAGUGAUUAUAAAAAGACGCGUUAUUCUGAGGAAUCCAACCUGCUGUCAGUCUGUCCUCUGCUCUCUGCUCCGUCUCCUUCUCCUCUCAUCUUCCUCUAUCUCCUCAUCCUCUUCCUCGCUUUGGCAGCAGGUCCGCUGACUGCGAUUAUGAGAUAUGAGGGCAU